CUCGCAAUUCUUAUGAUAGGGCGCAGCAUGGAUUCUUCGGAAAGUGGCCUCGUACAGUACCUGUCGCCGUAUUUUUGGAGUCAAUUCCUGCCAAAUCGAACUCUUACACCUUAGCGAACAUCCCAAGGCUGUAAAUGAAAAGGGUUCCUGCGGCACUAAACGAAAGAGAGAUGGCAUCACAGAGGCUGCUCUUGCAAAAUUUGGCUCUCAAAUUGUUUUAAAUUUACUUAUAAUCUCUGAGGUCUUCGCGUUUAGUCACAUAACAAACAAAAACACACAGGUUUUUUUCGGGUAAAACGCGUGGUUUAGUUACGGUGUGAAGCCUGAUCGCUAUAGGUUUUGAGUCAUUUCUGUCGUUUCGGCAUGUGAUGGUUAGGGCUUGCGGAAUUAUACACAGAAAGAUUGUGUUUUCAAAGAAAGGACCAGAGGAAGAGAUCCCUGAAAGCCGCUUCAUCAGCCAGCAGUCGUCUUUUUUCAAGUAUAGAGAAAAGAAAAUGUGAUCUAAAAUGCUCAAUGUAGAUGCUGAAGUGCCUUGAAGUUUGUAAUUUAAAGCUAGCAGUCGUCUGUUUUCAAGUAUAGAGAAAAGAAAAUGUGAUCUAAAAUGCUCAAUGAAGAUGCUAAAGUGCCUUGUAGUUUGUAAUUUAAAGCUGAGCUGUGAUAGCUUUUGUUCCAAAGACUGUUUGUGAAACUCCCAUGUUAAUUAAUAAUAAUAAUUGUUGCUGAAUAAAUGGCACUGCUGAUCCAAAA